rnacentral:antisense_RNA from 1 species
CUUGACCGAGCCGAGCAGCAGAGGCAGCUCCCGGUCCCGGCCGUACGUGGCGAGCAGCGCCUGCGCCUC